UACGGGGGGGGGCAAGCGUUGUUCGGAAUUACUGGGCGUAAAGGGCUCGUAGGCGGCCAACUAAGUCAGACGUGAAAUCCCUCGGCUUAACCGGGGAACUGCCUCUGAUACUGGAUGGCUUGAGAUUGGGAGAGGGAUGCGGAAUUCCAGGUGUAGCGGUGAAAUGCGUAGAUAUCUGGAGGAACACCGGUGGCGAAGGCGGCAUCCUGGACCGAGAUUGACACUGAUGAGCGAAAGCUAGGGGAGCAAACGGG
rnacentral:rRNA from 1 species